UACGAAGGGGGCUAGGCGUUGCUCGGAAUCACUGGGCGUAAAGGGUGCGUAGGCGGGUCUUUAAGUCAGGGGUGAAAUCCUGGAGCUCAACUCCAGAACUGCCUUUGAUACUGAGGAUCUUGAGUACGGGAGAGGUGAGUGGAACUGCGAGUGUAGAGGUGAAAUUCGUAGAUAUUCGCAAGAACACCAGUGGCGAAGGCGGCUCACUGGCCCGUAACUGACGCUGAGGCACGAAAGCGUGGGGAGCAAACAGG
rnacentral:rRNA from 1 species